rnacentral:rRNA from 1 species
UACGUAGGGUGCGAGCGUUAAUCGGAAUUACUGGGCGUAAAGCGUGCGCAGGCGGUUCGUUGUGUCGGCGGUGAAAGCCCCGGGCUUAACCUGGGAAUGGCCGUUGAAACUGGCGAACUGGAGUGUGGCAGAGGGGGUGGAAUUCCGCGUGUAGCAGUGAAAUGCGUAGAGAUGCGGAGGAACACCGAUGGCGAAGGCAGCCCCCUGGGCUGACACUGACGCUCAGGCACGAAAGCGUGGGGAGCAAACAGG